rnacentral:tRNA from 1 species
GCAUCAGUGGUUUAGUGGUAAAAUCCAUCGUUGCCAUCGAUGGGCCCCGUGUUCGAUGCACGGCUGAUGCA